GAUGAACGCUGGCGGCGUGCCUAACACAUGCAAGUCGAACGGAGUUGUUAUUGGGAAGUUUUCGGAUGGAAUAAUAAUAACUUAGUGGCGGACGGGUGAGUAACGCGUGGGUAACCUGCCUCAUACAGGGGGAUAACAGUUGGAAACGGCUGCUAAAACCGCAUGACAUUGCGAUGUCGCAUGACAAUGCAAUGAAAUAUUUAUAGGUAUGAGAUGGGCCCGCGUCUGAUUAGCUAGUUGGUGAGGUAAUGGCCCACCAAGGCGACGAUCAGUAGCCGGCUUGAGAGAGUGACCGGCCACAUUGGGACUGAGACACGGCCCAAACUCCUACGGGAGGCAGCAGUGGGGAAUAUUGCACAAUGGGGGAAACCCUGAUGCAGCGACGCCGCGUGAGUGAAGAAGUAUUUCGGUAUGUAAAGCUCUAUCAGCAGGGAAGAAAAUGACGGUACCUGACUAAGAAGCCCCGGCUAACUACGUGCCAGCCGCCGCGGUAA
rnacentral:rRNA from 1 species